rnacentral:snRNA from 1 species
GUGCUCACUUCGGCAGCACAUAUACUAAAAUUGGAAUGAUACAGAAAAGAUUAGCAUGACCCUGCUCAAGGAUGACACGUAAAUUCAUGAAGUGUUCCAUAUUUUU